AAAAAGGCAAACCCUAGGUUUCCGUACCAACGUUUGACUAUCCGUCUUAUAUGAAAUUUUUUUAUAAUUAAUAUUUUCAUUGUUGUUAGAUGAUAAAAUAUGAUUAAUACUUUAUGCGUGACUUAUAUUUUUUUAUGCGUGACUUAUAUUUUUAAUUUUGUUCGUAAUUUUUUCGAAAAAGACGGACGGUCAAGCGUUGGACACGGAAACCAAGGUUUGUCUUUUUU
rfam:Oryza glumipatula chromosome 1, whole genome shotgun sequence.